UCAAAUCUCAUAUUCAACAAUCACAUUUAUUGUCUUGACCUAAUCUUUACCUAUAAAAAGUCUUACUUUCUACACCAAUUUCAUGAUCCACUAUUUACAAAUCCUUAUCCAAAGUUGAUGUUCUUCACAUUAAAGAACAUCAACAACUAAAUCCUAUAACUCCAAUAAGCAUCCAUUCUAUCAAGGGCAAAGGGAUAAAAUCGGAUCAAAAGGCAAGGAUUGGAAUUGGUGGCGUGAAGAAGGCGAAAAACUAAAAAAAAUAUUUUGCUCACCAGUGACAAUCUCUUCCCUAUAGGUUGGUUUUUGUUUUAACCUCUCAAUAAUAAUUUAUGCAUGCUUAUAUGAAUAAAAUCGGAUCAAAAGACAAGGAUUGAAAUUGGUGGCGUGAAGAAGGCGAAAAGCUCAAAAGAAAUUAUUUUGCUCACAAGUGACAAUCUCUUCCCUAUAGGUUGGUUUUUAUUUUAACCUCUCAAUAAAAAUUUAUGCAAACUUAUAUGGAUUGAAAUUGAUACCGAUUUGAGUUUGUUGAUUGAUGUUUGAUGGGUUUUUGUUUAUCGUUUGUAUUUGAUUUUUGUACAUGUUUUCAUAAAACUUUAUAUACAAAAUUAAAAAAAAACUUAAUAAUUUUCUAAUCAAAUUUAAAAUCAUUUUAAAUUGGUAUUAUAAAUCUAAUUCCUUUAAAGAAAACCAAUUAUUUUUAAAUCAACUUUUAAUUCAACUUUUUUAAAACAAAUUUUUAAAUAAUUUUUUUUCUAACAAAUGUCAGAAAGUCAAUUAUUUUAAGCAAAUCUUUUUUUAACAAACAUCAUAAACCUUUUUACAACUAAUAUCAUGAAUAAAUUUUUUAACAAACAUCAUAAACCUUUUUUUAAUAUUAAAAAAAACUGAAAUAACACAAAGUCAUAACAGGGUGAAAUCUACUGAAUCAACACACAAUAACAUAAAUCUAAAAACAAUAUGAAACAUAAAACAAAAAAAUUCUUUUAGUUUCAAUUAAAUUAUUUAGUUUUUAAUAUUUAGAUUAGGUUAAUUAAUUAACAAAAUUUAAAACUUUUUAGGUUGGCUUGAUUUAUUUAACUAGCCUUAAAUUAUGAUUUCCCUUUUAGUCAUUUAAUCAUUAAUAAUAAAAAAUACUAAAAAAAUCUGUCUUUAGAUUAUAAAAAUAUAAAAAAUCCAAAACUAUAUAUCUUUUCCCCUUUUAAACAAAGUAAAAACAAAAUAAAUAUAUAAUUAAAUAGAAUUAAAUUGGAAUAAUUAAUAUUUGUAUAAUAAUUAUUAAUUAGAGUUAUAACUUAAAAUUAAUUACAUUAAUUUAUGGUUUAAUAUAAUAAUGUGAUUAAUAUAAAAAUAAUUAGGUAAUUAUUUAGAUAAUAUGUAAUUAUGGAUUUAAAUUGAGAUUAGAGUUAAUUUUAUAAUCAAGCAUAAUUGGAUUAAUAAUCAGUUAUAACAAUUAAUAUUUCCCCUUAAUAAAAAUGAUAACUAUUAACAAAAUAAAAUAUUAAUUAAUUAGAUAAUUAGGGUUAACCUUUGGAAUAAUUUUGGGAUAGUGGGAUCACUUAUUGGGAUAAGUCUAGGUUUUGAUUAUCUAAUUAGGGUAAUAGUUAAAGAAUAAGGGAUAUAAAAUAUAAUAUUAACCUUUAUAGUUAACUUGUUUUUAUUUAACAUAAAAUAAUUAUACAUGUGUUUAUUUUCUAAAUCAAACUAAUUAUUAUAUUUUUGCAAAUUAACAAACAAUUAAAAUCAAUUUCACAUACCUAAACUUCAAGUCCUCUCCGCCCUUGUGUAUUGAUACAUUUUCAAAUCAAACAUUUUUCUCCUUUAUUUUUUUAUUUAUUUUAGUUAAUUAAUAUAUAGUUUUAUUUAAUUAACUAUUAAGGUUGGUUUAUUAAAUUAGUUAACAUUGGAUUAGUGUAAUUAAGUUAAUAAUUAGGUUUUUCAAUAUUUCAAUAUUUUACUUUUUUUUAUAGUUUGAUUUGUUUAUUUUCUCUUAUUCAAAUAAUCAAGGGAAACAUAUUUAAUUGAUUGGGGAGUAAUAUAAUGAAAAAUUAUGGUUAAUUGAUUGGAACUUUUUUUGGAUAAUUAUGGGAUAAAAAUUUGGAAUAAAAAAUAGGGAAUAAACAUAUGGGAUAAAAUCUUAGGAUUUUAAGGGAUAAAUCAAGGGAUAGAAAUCGGGAUAAGGGAUAUGUCAUAUAAAUAUAUAAAAUUUAUUUUCAUAAAUAAAUUAAGUAUUAUAUUUUUUUGUAAUAAAAAAUAGGGAUAAUCGUGAGAUAAAUCUCUAAGAAAAUUUUAGGGUUUCAGGGAUAAGGGAUAUAAUACUUGAGUUUAUUUAAUUAACCUUUAAAAAAAUUUAUUAAGUAAAUUAAUAUCAUUACUAAUUUAUUUUCUUACAUAAAUUAAUCAAUAGGUGUCUGCAAAUCAACCCAGGGAUAAAAUUAAUUUAAACUCACCUCAAACUAUAAGUCCUCUACCCAAAUACAUUGAUGUAUUUUUCCAAAAUCAAUUACUUCUCUGCCUCCGAUGCGUGAGAACUUUUCAAGGGAUAAAAACAAAAAAAAACAUAUUUUUUACAAGAACUAUGGUGUUCUGAUCCUUCAGACAACAUGAUGGUACGUAGACAUAAAGUUGUAAGACUUUAGCUAGUACAAUAAUAAAAAAACUUUUUAGAUUCUCUUUCCUUAAAUAACCAAUUUUAUUUUAAAUAAUAAAUAAUUUUCAAUAAAUAAAUAAAUAAGCAAUUAACAAAUAAUAAAGCAAACACUCUUAAGCAUACAAUAACCUUAGACUUAUAUGAGGAUUCUAUUUAGUACAAUGGAGGUGAGAGGUGCCUAGUACCUUCCUCUCACUUAAUCGACUCCCGAACCUAGUAUCUCACCCAUAACCAUUAUAUUUUAUCAUUAUUUCCUUGUUCUUUAGGAACAAAUAAAGGAUGAUGACGACUCUGUAAUUUUUCAGCCGCGACAACUGGCGACUCUGCUGGGGAGAUCUACUUCCCUAAAGAGAGUUCAUCAUAACCCCUAGUUCUAGGGUUUUGCUUGUUUCUUCGUUUGCUUUUUAUUUAUUUCUUACUUUUUAUUUAUUGUUUUUCUUUUUAUUUAUUCGAUUCAUAUUUUAUUAUUUCUAUUAUUUCAUUAUUAUUACAUAUGACAUUUGGUUAGGAUUUACAUGUGGGAAGCUAAAACCCAUACUUGAGGAAAAAGUAAUAAGUUUAAAUAAGGGGUCAUCUUAUCUUGGCCACUGGGGUUCCCAUCCUGUGGGAUCUUUGAUGAUGAUUCCGCCUAGAGUAGAUCAAUUCAAAGGGUUUAUCAUAAGAAGGUUGACACUUCUUCAUGAUGAAAGCUUGAAUUUGGUCCAUGACUCUAGGUACCUCUUCUAGAACCUCUUUAACUCAGAGUGACCUUAUGUUAACAACCUACAAGAACCGUUACUAAGGUCCCGCCUAGAUGAGACUUAUCCCGAAGAAUUACCGUAAGAAGGCUUGCUCAUUCUUAUGGUAAAACAAGAGUAUAUUCCACGACUCUAGUGUUAUCAUCCAAAAUUUUAUAUCCUACAAGUGAGGGGAUUGGGUAGUCUUAACCUAAAGCUGGCCUAUCACAAGAAGCCUACCCUUAACUAGGUCAUGCUUGCAUAUCACCCUAUCCCUAAAACCGUUUGGAUUUCCCAUGUCGAUCAUUAUCCCUAUCUAUAAGGAGCCUUCUUAAACAAGGUUUCAUUUGCUCAAAUGAGUGUUAUAUCAAAAGAUUACUUGCGAAUGAUAAAAAGGAAAAAGAGGUUUAAUAAUGAAUAUGCUUUCCAAGGGUUCGAACCCUCGUGCCUACGUAUCCUCGUAGUGAAAUAUGGAAAUCAGAGCUCCGUAGUUCGUGGAACUAAAGAUGUAAAAAAGGAAAGAGUUGAUUAGGUUGUCAAAAGGCGAAGAAAGUUACUUGAAUAGAAAUAGUGUGGCAUUAACCAAUGGAUGGUAAUUAGCCAAAGAGAGUCAAAGAAUGUGGCAUUGACCAAUAGAUGGUGAUUAUCCAAAAAAUAAUAAAGGAGUGUGUUUUCCUAAGCACGAGAGGACUGACAAGGCAAACAUGAAAUAGAUAAAGGGUAUUCCAAUUAAAGAGUGUGACGUUAACCAAUGGAUGAUAUGGCCAAUACAAGGAUUGUAGCAUUUGUCAGAGUCUGUAACUUUACAGGGAAAUAUAAAAGGUUAUUAGAGUCCUUAAUUAUUUAAGGCAAGAAUGAAUGAUUUCCAGAGUCUGUAACUCUACAAGGGAGGAUGAAAGAUUGCCAGAGUCCAUAAAUCUACAAGGAAAAAAAGAAGUUGUCAGAGUCUGUAACUCUACAUGGCAAGAUGAUAAGUUGCCAAAGUUUGUAACUCUACAAGGCAAAAAAAAGGGGUUGUUAGAGUCUGUAACUCUAUAAGGCAGAAAGCAAGGUUUCCAGAGUCUAUAACUCUAUGAGGCAAGAAGAAGCUGCCAAAAUCUGUAAUUCUAUAGGGCAAGAUAAUAAGUUGCCAAAGUCUGUAACUAUACAAGGCAAAAAGAGGGGUUGCUAGAGUCUAUAACUCUAUAAGACAGAAAGUAAGGUUGCUAGAGUAUGUAACUCUAUAAGGAAAGAAGAAGCUGCCAGAGUCUGUAACUCUACACGACAAGAUGAUAAGUUACCAGAGCCUGUAACUUUAAAAGAAAAAAAGGGUUGUGAGAGUUUGUAAAUUUAUAAGUCAGAAAUAAAGGUUUCCAAAGUCUGUACCUCUAUAAGGAAAUAAGAAUCUUUCAGAGUCUAUAACUCUACAGAGCAAGAUGAUAAGUUAUCAGAGUCUAUAACUCUACAAGGCAAAAAUAGGGGUUGCCAUAGUCUGUAACUCUAUAAGGCAGAAAACAAGGUUGCCAGAGACUGUAACUCUAUAAGACAAGAAAAAGUUGCUAGAGUUUGUAACUCUACAAGGCAAGAUGGUAAGUUGCCAUAGUCUGUAGCUCUAUAAGGCAAAAAAGGGGUUGCUAGAGUCUAUAACUCUAUAAGACAGAAAUCAAGAUUUCUAGAGUCUAUAACUCUAUAAGGCAAGAAGAAGCUGCAAGAGUCUGUAAUUCUAUAGUGCAGAAAGACAGGUUGCCAACGUCUAUAACUCUAUAAGGCAGAGAAGUUUAUCAGAGCAUGAGGCUCUAUAGGGCAACAUAUGAAGUUUUCCAAAGCAUGAGGCUCCACAGGGAAAUGCAUGAAGAUAUUGAUUCAAAUAUGGGUGCUUGACCAUGAGGUGAUUAACCCAAAUUAUGUGUUGAUAUCAGAGAGGAUUGUUGUGUUUGAUCAAAAGAGAAGGUGCGUUAUUGAUGUAGAUUGUUGAAACAGACUUGUCAAUUGUUUGAUUUGAAUUACACUAAAGUAUAUGAAAAAAGGUGAAUACUUUGAGUAACUAGGGCUUACGUCUCGUACUAAAAGGUACUCUAGACAAGGAUAGGAAUGAGCCCUCUCAUCAUUCUUCGUUGCUUAAGGCUCGUGGCGUGUAAUUCUCAUCAUGAUUGACAAGUGUUAAAUAAGAUUAUGUUUGUUGAUCCUAAUAAUGUAAUGUUUCUUGUGAAAAAGGAGACUUGGAAAUUAUUCAAAUCGAAUUGCACUAAAGUCUAUGAGUAGAGGUGAAUACUCUGAGAAAUUGGGUCAUUCAUCCCAUAACCAAAGAUAUUCAUAAUGAGGAUAUGAAUUCUCCCUCUCACCCAUUGUCUACUACUUAAGGCUAGUGAUACACAAUUUGAAUCGUAACUAACAAGUGUUGAUGAGGGACCUUUUUUGUGCUUGAAUAGUAAUUUGGCCUCCAGUCUGUGUGCAAUGUUGUGUCUGACUUGUGUGGACUUGAGUGAAGUCUUGAGUUGUUUGUCUUGAAAGACCCAUUGCAGCUCCAAUACAAGGGACUAGUCUUAUCAAGUGAUCAAGAGACUUUUGAUCACUUGAAUAGACUAAGGGAAUAGGCAUAAUCAAAGGAUUUAGUUUAUCAAAAAGGACUUUGAUAAACUUGGUCUAUCAAGGAUGAAAUUUCAUUUGCAGAUCAUACACAAGGAUUAUGACCUAAACUCUAAGGAAAAUCAAUAUCAUGAUCCUAAUUCUGAAAAUAAAACCUAGACUCAUGGCAUGCUAUGUCAAAAUCAAAUCUACAAUUCAGAAAUUAAUUCUUACUAAAGCAUUAUUUUGACUAUUUCCAAACGUAUGAAUUACAUGGAAAAAAAACAAAUAGAAUAUAAAAAUCACAUUUUUAUUUUCUAAGUAUUUCAUAUUAAAAUGUGCAUAAAAAAAGAAAGGAAAUAAAACAAUUAAAGAAAAUAAAACAAAACAAAGAGGGAUAAGGGGUGUGCCUGGCCAGGGAGGUGGAGGAGGCAAUGGGGCGUAGGCCCAUCAGAGCUAGCAGGCCCAAUAUGGCCUUAGUUUCACUUCUGCAAUCAGAAUGGGGGUUUGUGAUGGAAAAUGGGGGUGCAUGACGUAAUUGAUUGGGCCAAAGGCCCAACAUGCCCAUGCCAAGAGGAAUAUGGUUCAGAAUAUUAGUUCAUUCCAACUCAUGUGUUCAAACAUCUAACUUUCUCUCUUAAACAAUACCUCAUAUGAAACCCUACUUUACCACAUCGGAAAUUGCCUCCGACGGCGAAGGAGGUCCAAACAAUAACAUCAACACCCUAAGAUUGAAGGUUGUGAUUGCAUUUAUAGGAAUCUUAGAGUUAACAGAAUGUUGUUCUAUUAGAUUUCAUAGAGCAAGUUAGUUAGAUUGAUGCUCUAUUAAUUAACUAUGUUAGAUGAGAAAAGUUAGAGUCAGUUCAGUUUUCUAUUAAAGUUAGUUUGUUAUAAUUCAGUUAGGGUUGUGAAAAUAGUUGGUUAUGCUUGGAUUCAGUUAGAGUUAAUUGAGAGCUGAAAUUAUGUUAAAGUGUUAAAGCAAUGUUAGUGUUUGGAAUGGCUCUGUUAGUUUAAAACCAAUAUGUUAGUUAAAAUGAAUGUUAGUGUUAAAUGUUGAACUCAGUGUGUAACUAUGAAUGAUUAAGUUAAUUUGGAAUCUAUUAAUGACUAGUUUUACUUGAAUUUUCUGUUAGAAGUUAGCCAUGGAGUUAGUUAUAGUCAGAUUUUUAGUUAAUGAAUUUGAAGUGAAUUAGAACUUUGUUAUGUUGAGGUUAAUUACAGGUUGAAUGUAGUUAAUUAGUUUGAAUUGAAAUUAAUUUUGUUAAUUAUGCAUUGUGUUGAAUUUGGAUGAGUUAGUUUAGUUGCAUUAUAAUAAAUAGUUUGAAUGGUUAGUGAAUUAGAGUGGUUGUUAGUGAUUGAGUUUUAUUGUGUUAAUUGAACUUGAAGGUUAGUUAGUGGCAGUUUGCUAGUUAUGCUGAAUUGUUAUAGUGUAAUGUAAUGAGUAUGUUAAUGUUAGUUAUGUUAUUGGUUAAUGUUAAGAGUCCCACAUCGGAUAAUAUAUGGUCUGAACAUAUGUUUAUAAGUGGGGACAGUCCUCACUCUAUCAACCGGUUUUGUAGGAUUGAGUUAGGUCAAACCACACAUUCUUAACAUGGUAUCAGAGCCUUGUCUAAGAUCCGGUGGGCCACCUACUAUGAUUUUCGCUAUCGGGCCACCACCAUUUAUUUCCAUGCUCCAGAUGUCCAAUCCCGGGCGUGAGGGGGUGCGUUAAGAGUCCCACAUCGGACAAUAUAUGGUCUGAACAUGUGUUUAUAAAUGGAGGCAGUCUCCACUCUACCAACCGGUUUUGUAGGGUUGAGUUAGGCCAAAUCACAUAUUCUUAACAGUUAAAAAUUGUUGUGAACUGAUAUAGUCUAAUUUCUGUUAGAUUAUGGAUCAGCUGUGUUAAUUUCUAUUUGCAUUGAUGUUGAUAUGGAACUAAAUUGGCCAUUAGUCUGUUUGAUGGGUUAUGAAAUGCAAUGUAAGGUAUUUGGUUAAGGCUUGGUUUUGAAAAUUGAUUGGAUUGCUUUGAAUGAAUGAGCAUAAGUUUAUGAUGUGAUUUAUGGCUAAUGCUUUGUUUAUGUUCUUGUAGGCAAGAGUUUUGUUUAUGUUCUUGUAGGCAAGAGUGGGCAUGGAUUGAAGGCUUGGACCUUUUGGCAAGAAAAAGCAAGAGUUAUAAAGAACAAGGCUAUGGAUAGUUUGGGAAUGAAGAAAAUGUUAUAACUAGGAUUAAGACUAGUAGAGUUGACUUUUGUCAACCGGUAGACAAAAAGUCAAUGGUUGACCAAAGUCAACUGUAGAUCAAAGUUGUGAUUUUUUAUAGGUUCUGGGCUUUUGUAUUUGUAAUGAACUUUAAAAAUUUGUAAUGCAAAUGGGUUCUUUAAUUGAAUGAAUUGUGUAGCUUAUGCAUUUUUCCCUUCACUUCCGUAAUUUCAACUUUUGCAUUCUGGCUCCAAAUGGACUAAUAUAAUGAACAAACAAAUAAAGAGAGUAAUU
rnacentral:lncRNA from 1 species